rnacentral:tRNA from 1 species
GACUGCAUAGUUCAAGUGGUAGAGCACAUGCUUAGCAUGUGUGAGGUCCUGGGUUCAAUUCCCAGUACCUCCA